AGUCGAACGAGAGAGAAGGAGCUUGCUUCUUCGAUCGAGUGGCGAACGGGUGAGUAACGCGUGAGGAACCUGCCUCAAAGAGGGGGACAACAGUUGGAAACGACUGCUAAUACCGCAUAAGCCCACGGGUCGGCAUCGGCCUGAGGGAAAAGGAGUGAUCCGCUUUGAGAUGGCCUCGCGUCCGAUUAGCUAGUUGGUGAGGUAAUGGCCCACCAAGGCGACGAUCGGUAGCCGGACUGAGAGGUUGAACGGCCACAUUGGGACUGAGACACGGCCCAGACUCCUACGGGAGGCAGCAGUGGGGAAUAUUGCACAAUGGGGGAAACCCUGAUGCAGCGACGCCGCGUGGAGGAAGAAGGUCUUCGGAUUGUAAACUCCUGUUGUUGAGGAAGAUAAUGACGGUACUCAACAAGGAAGUGACGGCUAACUACGUGCCAGCAGCCGCGGUAAAACGUAGGUCACAAGCGUUGUCCGGAAUUACUGGGUGUAAAGGGAGCGCAGGCGGGAAGACAAGUUGGAAGUGAAAUCUAUGGGCUCAACCCAUAAACUGCUUUCAAAACUGUUUUUCUUGAGUAGUGCAGAGGUAGGCGGAAUUCCCGGUGUAGCGGUGGAAUGCGUAGAUAUCGGGAGGAACACCAGUGGCGAAGGCGGCCUACUGGGCACCAACUGACGCUGAGGCUCGAAAGUGUGGGUAGCAAACAGGAUUAGAUACCCUGGUAGUCCACACC
rnacentral:rRNA from 1 species